GCUGCCUCAGCCUGGUCCACUGAACAGGGACAGCGAUUCCUGACUUCUACGAGGACGGCCUUUUAAUUCUUUUCAUAGCCUUCCUGGGAGGACCACCCUUCAGAUUGCCAUCACAUCUAGGAGAACUCAUCCUCCACAACAUAACGGACUCCAAGCUCUUGGUGCAGCAGGGAGGAAGCCAUGGCCGGAACCUGAGGGUGUGGCGUGUGGAACCAGGACAGUGGUGCUUCUGAAUUCCAGAGGGCCCCGUGUUGGCCUUCCAAGGGGAGCCUGCUCUGACUUUUGGAUGCCAAGUACCAUGUCGUGGUUGCCCUCUCUGCUGCCUCCUUCUGCUCACAGCCCAGUGUUCCUGACGAGAAGAAGCCACCUGCAUGUGUGCCCUCACCACAACCUGUCCAGACUCCAGGACUGACAAGGUAGAGUCUCCAAGGAGCAGGCCUCCUGCAGACACAAAGGUCUCAGGUGGGGAAGAGAAAACCUCCAGAAAGACUGGACACGGUGUCUGGUUCUUGGCUGGAAAGUCUUCCUUUUCACCUGGCCUGAGUGUUGGGGCUGUAAGAUCCUGAGGCCAGGACUUCUUGUCUCCUUCGAUGGCCAUUUCUUCCUGCGCAUUCUCCACUCAUUUGCUUCCCUGGUCCUUGCAACAGCGCCAUCUCAAUCUAUUUGGAUCUUGAGCUGCAGCAAGAGAUUCUGUUGUAAAUUUGCAUACAGAGGAGUCUAAUUAUGUUAAUCUAUUUGGUUUCUACA